rfam:Streptomyces sp. MMG1533 P407contig22.1, whole genome shotgun sequence.
GGGAAUCCGGUGCGAAUCCGGAACUGUCCCGCAACGGUGUACUCAUGCGUGCAUAUGCGCGCAUGAGAGUCAGUCCGAGGACC